rnacentral:rRNA from 1 species
GAUGAACGCUAGCGGCAGGCCUAAUACAUGCAAGACGAACGGUAACUUGAGUAGCAAUAUUUGAGCAAGAGUGUCGUAAGGGUGCGUAACACGUAUGCAAUCUGCCCUCAACAGGAGGAUAGCUCCCCGAAAGGGGAAUUAACACUCCAUAAGAUAACAUAAUGGCAUCAUUGAGUGAUAAAAACUACGGUGGUUGAGGAUGAGCAUGCGCAUGAUUAGUUAGUUGGCGGGGUAACGGCCCACCAAGACGAUGAUCAUUAGGGGAACUGAGAGGUUGAUCCCCCACACUGGCAUUGAGAUACGGGCCAGACUCCUACGGGAGGCAGCAGUAGGGAAUAUUGGACAAUGGGUGCGAGCCUGAUCCAGCCAUGCCGCGUGCAGGCAGACGGCCUUCUGGGUUGUAAACUGCUUUUGCCAGGGGAUAAAAAGUCCCUGCGGGGAAAAUUGAAGGUACCUGGUGAAUAAGCCACGGCUAACUACGUGCCAGCCGCCGCAGUAA